rnacentral:tRNA from 1 species
AGCAGCGUGGCGCAGCGGAAGCGUGCUGGGCCCAUAACCCAGAGGUCCCUGGAUUGAAACCAGGCGCUGCUA